rnacentral:rRNA from 1 species
UACGUAGGUGGCGAGCGUUAUCCGGAAUCAUUGGGCGUAAAGAGGGAGCAGGCGGCCUGGAGGGUCUAUUGUUAAAAGGCAGUGGCUUAACCAUUGCAAGGCGAAGAAACCGGCAGGCUAGAGUUCUAAAGAGGAUCGUGGAAUUCCAUGUGUAGCGGUGAAAUGCGUAGAUAUAUGGAGGAACACCAGUGGCGAAGGCGACGAUCUGGGAAGAAACAGACGCUGAGUCCCGAAAGCGUGGGGAGCAA